AUUGAACGCUGGCGGGAGGCCUAACACAUGCAAGUCGAACGAGUGGCGUACGUGAGAGAAAUGUAUGGGAACCGGCCCGAGGGAGGGGGAUACGAACUGGAAACGGUAGCUACUACCGCAUACAGUGGGCUAUACCCGGAUGGCAUUAGCGAGUGGGUGGGGUAAAGGCUAACCUAGGCGACGAUCCCUAGCUGUUCUGAGAGGAUGACCAGCCACACUGGAACUGAGACACGGUCCAGACUCCUACGGGAGGCAGCAGUGGGGAAUAUUGCACAAUGGGCGCAAGCCUGAUGCAGCCAUGCCGCGUGUAUGAAGAAGGCCUUCGGGUUGUAAAGUACUUUCAGCGGGGAGGCGUUACCCGCAGAAGAAGCACCGGCUAACUCCGUGCCAGCAGCCGCGGUAAUUC
rnacentral:rRNA from 1 species